rnacentral:rRNA from 2 species
CCUACGGGAGGCUGCAGUGGGGAAUAUUGCACAAUGGGGGGAACCCUGAUGCAGCAAUGCCGCGUGGGUGAAGAAGCACUCCGGUGCGUAAAGCCCUGUCAGCAGGGAAGAAAAUGACAGUACCUGACCAAGAAGCCCCGGCUAACUACGUGCCAGCAGCCGCGGUAAUACGUAGGGGGCAAGCGUUAUCCGGAUUUACUGGGUGUAAAGGGAGCGCAGGCGGUAUGGCAAGUCAGAUGUGAAAACCCAGGGCCCAACCCUGGGACUGCAUUUGAAACUGCCAUACUGGAGUGCCGGAGAGGUAAGUGGAAUUCCUAGUGUAGCGGUGAAAUGCGUAGAUAUUAGGAGGAACACCAGUGGCGAAGGCGGCUUACUGGACGGUAACUGACGCUGAGGCUCGAAAGCGUGGGGAGCAAACAGGAUUAGAUACCCCUGUAGUCCA